CUGAUCAAAGGUGGUUGUUCUCGCAAAAUCAGCCUUCCGACGUCCUUUUGGGGACAUUCAACUUAUUUUAACAAGAAUGACAGCACCUGACUUAUUUAUGACGAGAAUUAAAAUUUUGACAUUUUUGGAUAUUUUUGCAAAUGGGAGGUUGGACCCGAUGAGGGUUGCCUACGUAUCUCACGUCCGGUGAGAAUCAAACCUGCAUAGUUUGGGCAGUUAUGAAAGAAUCAAAUAUAUAAAUUUUGAACAAUGAUUUUCAAAUAUUUUCCUUUUUUUUCAAAAAUCCUACACCAUUUCGGUAUUAUUUUGGGCAUUGGUUUUUCAAAACAACUGGUUACCCUCACUCAGCCCUAACACUGCUAUUUUCUCAAAUUUCUCUUCAUUAUACACAAGCCUGUCAACAUGCAAAGCGAGAAAAUAGAUGCGCAAGUAGCAUGUAAGAUGCACCAGGAUGAUCUUUCAAUUCAGGUUACCUGUCGUAGACGGACCCAACCCCUGCAUUGAGUCCCCUAAGUCAAAUGCACAUGAUGCAAACAAACGUUCCUACUAGGGAUCUGUCAUGAGGCUUUGUUAUACCAAGUUUAAGCCCCGGGUUUAUUGUUCUAGACCUGGCUUACCCAAGCGGACAACUCAAGUCGGGGGGCAGCGUACCAGGGAUACAGAAGCUCCGCCGGCUUAGCAGCUCAUCCGAACCUCAUUCUAAAUGGGAAAUGACUCCAAACAGAAGAGAAGCCACACGAAGUGCACCCUUCUCCAUGAUGUAGAAUACUUAGAGAGAGGAAGGGAUUCGUAACAGUUUAUAUAUAUACAAUUCAACAAAUAUCAAAGCGGUAAAAUAUUUAGCACGUAUAGCAUGGAAUAUGCAGGAAAAUCAGAUAAAGCCAAAUAUAACAAUUAUACUAAUCUCGAAUUUUUAAAUCCUGAAUUGAAGUUCUGGGUUUUUGUCCCAAGCAUAGUCGUCAGAGCUGUCACACCUCCUUUUUUUCUACACCCACAAGGACAUAAAUGAGUUUUCCAAUUUAAGUGACAAUCGAAACGGGAUUUAUUAUAAAUAUUCAGAGUCGUCACUUGGGAAAUAAAUAGUGUCCCAAGUCACCAGUUGAAUGACGAAUCAAGGAAAAUGUGACCCUGUGAACAGUCCGCGAACCAGAAAUAUGAGUAAGAAGUUUUAUUAACCGGGGAGAAGGUAUUAGACAUUUUCGGGUUCCGUGGUUCUAAUACGGUCGUUCAACUGUCAGAUUCAACUUAUUUAUCUGAUUUUAAUACAUGUUGAAUCUAUGUGCCAAUUUUAGCUUUUAACCGCUUUUAUUCAAUUAUUUUUAAAUAAAGUUGAACGUCGCGGUUAAAACGUGUCUUUGAAUCGCGUUACAUAAAAUGCACCUGCAAUCUCGAACAUAUUUUAUUCAACGUUUUGGGAAUUGAUUUGGGUCACAUGAAAUGCACAUCCGAGUUUAAGGAGGUAAACUUAAUAAAAUACGCGCCUAAAGUAACUAACGCGUUAUUAUCUUUUAGGAAGGCCGUGAAAUUCACUAAACGACCCGUCCUGAAUUGUAACUAUUUUAAUAUAGACAUUCAAAAAGGGCCAUGCAAUUUAUGCAUUUUGUCUGACGGGACUCAGCUCAUUUAUUAUUUAAAAGUCAAACUAAAGCAAACUACGAUUUUUUAUUCAAUUUGUUUCUAAUAAUAAAGAAAAAUAGCCCUAAUUAAUUAACAAUAUUGAUUAAUGUUUUUAAAGGCAUUUAAGGUAUUUGGGCCUUGAAUUCAUAUCUAUAUUUAAAUAAGAGGAGAGCCUUUAUUAGCAAGCUGGGCCAUAUGAUGGGGUGGGAUAUCCAGUGAAGUACCUAAGCUUUGGGCCCAAAAGAAGCCCAGCUUGAAGUGAGGUGGGGAUAGGGCUUAAAUUGAAACAAGACUUUAAUACUGGUCAAGGAACAAAAAUCAAAUUCAAACAUUCACCAUGCUACAGCCAUUUCAAAUCAUUUGGCUAAUACAUAUACUAUGCUAAUUUGACACUCAAAACCGUCCAGAAAUAUAAAAGCACAAUUCGAAAUGUUUUACAAGAACGAAACUGAAGCUUAACGUCAAUUAACUUUACUGGGCCAUGAUUUUUCUCAUCAUGUUGAUACUCAAAUUUAAAUCCACCAUCCAAACCAACAUAUUUAUCAUUGAUUAUGAUUAUGCAUACACAUAUGAUACCUACUACCUAAUUAAGCACGAAGACUUAAUCAAUCUACAGCCUACUUUCACUAAACGUGACAUUUAUUCCACUGGAGUUUAACACCGUCCAAAACAAACCCGAAAACAGUCCUAUUUAACCAUAGAUUGAAAACUAAAACAACUACUAAAGGUUUUUAUCUCGUUUCUAAGCCCCUUUUAAAAUAAGUUUAUGAAACAACUGACAGGAAACCAACUAAAACUAACAUGAACUAUUUUAUUAAUCUAACAUGAGAUCAAUUACAACUAGUACUUGAGCAGUAAUGACUUAUACAAUCCUGUUAAUACAAAACCAGCCAAGAUCUAAAUAACAUCAGUGAAUAAAUGUCUAAAUACACAAAUUAGGAAAUGAACCAAAUUAGAACUCAUGCUUCAAUUCUUCAUAUAAAUUCAUUCUUCACAUUUUUAGCUCAUGAUUACCAAAGUUACAGCUAUGUACCUGGAAUUAGAAUAGAAUGUAAGAGGAAACUAAGAUCAGCAGCAACAGAGGUCUAACAGGAAUCAAAACCAGCAACAACGGGAAUAAUUUUCGAACCAAAUCAGCUUUUCCAAAACCCAGGAACGAACUAACAAGCUACACCGCCAAAAAAUGACCAAAACAGCUCAAUUAAACCCAAAAUUACUUGAAAUCAAGCCCAGUAGAUCUACUUCAACAACCAGAAACUAAACUAGAAGAUGUAAAUCAAUAACUAAAAGUCGAAAUUAACCUAAGGUUUCUAAUGGAACAGUAUUGUUUUUGGAUUUUUGAAGGUUUUUUGUGUUUUUGGAUUUUUGAAGAAUUAGAUUUAGAGUUUUUUGAUUUGAAAUUCAAAUCUUCAAUUUGUGAAAACUUAUGGAAUUUGGGGGAACUUUCAGAUGAUCAAAACUUGUUCACUAAGGCACU
rnacentral:lncRNA from 1 species